UGGGGAAUAUUGGGCAAUGGGCGAAAGCCUGACCCAGCAACGCCGCGUGAAGGAAGAAGGCCUUCGGGUUGUAAACUUCUUUGACCAGGGAAGAAGAAGUGACGGUACCUGGAAAACAAGCCACGGCUAACUACGUGCCAGCAGCCGCGGUAAUACGUAGGUGGCAAGCGUUGUCCGGAUUUACUGGGUGUAAAGGGCGUGUAGGCGGGAUUGCAAGUCAGAUGUGAAAUGCCGGGGCUUAACCCCGGAGCUGCAUUUGAAACUGUAGUUCUUGAGUGAUGGAGAGGCAGGCGGAAUUCCUAGUGUAGCGGUGAAAUGCGUAGAUAUUAGGAGGAACACCAGUGGCGAAGGCGGCCUGCUGGACAUUAACUGACGCUGAGGCGCGAAAGCGUGGGGAGCAAACA
rnacentral:rRNA from 1 species